GUCAUAACGGCGACCGUGAAGACUUUUAAAAUAGAGACCAACGUGGCCGGGCAGGAAGAGCAGGGUCCCGCCUUCAGGUGUUUGGGACUCAGCUGAGGGUGUGGGUGCCCCGCGGUGGGGGCUGAACCUUCCUGGGGUGUGGAGAGACGAAAGGAGCCCAGAUCCAAGUUCCCUCGUUCCCGCUUUGGCAUAAGUUGCCCUGGCGGUCUCAUGAGAGAGAGAAAGAGCUGGGACCCUCCUCGCCCCAGUGAGUGUGAUGUCUUGCUCCGGGUGUCCUGGGGCAACUUUCUAUACAGGCGGGACGUGGGAGGAUCAGACAGUGUAACAUCAGACAAGGGUGUUGACUCUGCAGCACAGAACCAGUAGUUUGUGGAGAAGAAUGGAGGUGUGGUGUUGAAUCUGCUAGACAGGCUACUGAAGCAAAAGUCAAGAGAUCCAGAUUCCAUCAUGGGGACACUUUAGUUCUUCAUCGGGUAAUUGAGCUGAUAUCAGGUGUCUGAAGGAGGCAAGUUUUGAAGAUGUGGGUCAUGAUGGCUGCUGAAGCUUCCACUCCAUAUUUGAAGGUCAGCAGUUCUCAGGAAACCUCUAGCACUUCCAUCCCUGGUGGGAUGUGAUGCCUGUCUCAGUGUAACAUCAGAGAAGGGGUGUACUCUGUGCCCUAGAACUAGGAGCUAACAGAGAAAAACCAAAUGUGAUGUGGAGUCUGCUAGACAGGCUACUGGAGCAAGAGUGAAGCGAUGAAAGUCUCAUCAUUGGGACAUAUUAGAAAAAAUGAUGGAUACAGAAGGAUAGCUGGAUGUAAGUGAAAAGUUCCAGAAAACCAUGUCUGAUCCCAUUAAUCAAGCUCCCAACUUUCAUCCCUCCCUGCCCGCUGCUGAGUCCCCUGGUCUACACUCAGAGUUGCAAUCCUGACUCUGGCCACCAAGAGGCAUUACAGCUAUCUCCACGUUCCUUGCUCUUUCUUAAUGAAAAGGGGUAAAUUUCGCAGAGUAAGUAAUGUUAUGAAACUUUUCUUUACUGUGAUACCAAUAGUUCGGAAUACCCAUUUGUAUAUUAAAGCAGGCCAAUUUGCUGUUGAUUCCAAAUCUACAGCGCAUUCAGUAAUUUAUUUUUUCCUUCAUUAGCGUAGGUUGAGGUGUCCACGCUGUAGGGGGGGGUCCCUCCUGGAGAGCAGGGUGUUCACCACCCAUCACUCCAACCCUGUACAGGCUUCUCAGACUCUCUCCCACUCCCUCCCACUGACCCCCCUCUCCAAGACAUUGUGGACACAUCUGCCCAGACCCCACUCCAGCGCCUCAUCCUUUCAGUCACUUCCUGCUGCCCUGGGCUCCCCCAAUCCUGCCUCCCAGCAACAGCCAAGGCACAUCAGACCUACCUGGUGUUUCAUCCUAUGGAUGUCCCACAGUAUGUUUUUACACUCUUUUUUACACCUGUCAGGGUUGUUUUUUUUUUCCAGACAGAAUCAUUCUGCAGUUCCUUUCAUAGACUGGGUUUUAGGGGAGGAUACCGUAUUUUUCUGCUCCUUGCUUACACUUUGUAGAGAAGUUUGAUAAUAGUGGUACAGUGAUGCCCCCUCAUGACAGAAGCCUGAACUGCAGCAGCUUGAACAUCGCUGAGCAGGAAGGUGGGAGGGAGGUGCUGUGGCCCAUGCACACCCUACAGAGUUUUCUGGAAGUGUGAGUAGAAAAAUGGGCAUUCCCACUGUACAGGGAUACUGACGGCCACCAGACAGAAAGUGUAGCCUCUUUAUGUGCUAUGUGAAAGCACAAAAUGAUCAUUUCUGUGUUUAUGCUUUCAAACCUCUGGAUAAAUAGCUAUAGACCUAUAUAAGCAAAAAUGCAUCUUGGCCACUAAGUGAUCUUUGUGACCCACAUUUGCCCUCAUUGUGAUCAUCUUUGCAUACACAUGCGUUUCCAUAAUAAUGUUUUAAAUUUCCUUCCAAAAAUAAUUGUAGUCUCUUUUUUUUAUCAACCAGGUGGUUCAUCAUGUGGGUGCCCCAAAAAUUCAUUUAAUUAGUAUCCCAGUCAUAAAAAUGUAGUUGCUUUAACAUUUUUUCCUGUUACAAACAAUAGUAUACUUAAUAUCCUCCUCAUAUAUAUGCAAAUAUAUUUGUAAGCAUUUCUGUCAAAAAAAAAAAAGUUCCUGGAAGUGGUCUUUCAAAACCCUGGGAACUGUAAAAUUUUAUAUUAACAUAGUGAAAUCCAAAUACUAUUUCUAACUUAUAUUCCUUACAUAACAGUAUGUAAGGACCUUGUGUCUUCACACAUUAGAAAUAAUGUGAAUCAUUGCUAAUCUUACAGGCAACAAAUCACCUCUCAUCGUUAUCUUCAUUAAAACUUGUUUUGCUGAAUUCUAGAAUUCCAUCCUAUGGAUAUGACAUCAGUUUUCUCAAACCUGUGUUAGUCAGAGUGUUCUGAUAUUCCCUGUUAUCUACACUGUGUGGAAGACAUCUUUUCAGAGUCUGUGCAUGGCUGAAGGGCACAGUUCCUGUAGCUGUUUACACUGGUGAGCCAAAUGGGUCCUCUUAGAGCCUUACUAACUGUCUUGGAGGUUAUUACAGUACUAAUAACAGAACCUGGUUGCUGUACAUGUGUGUGUAUUUGUCACUGCUUGUGUGUGUGCACAGCAUUUCCCUCUGCUUCCUUCUGCCCCUUCAUAAUUUGGUGUACCGGUUGGUCUUUCUUCCUAAAUUCAGGCCCAGAAAUAAAGGAAGGGAAUUUUCAGAAUGACAGUACUUAUAACCAGAUGCUUAUCAGCAUCCUUCACAAUGUCCUGAAGAUAAACUUCUAAAAGGUAAAUUGUUGGUGCAAAGGGUGUGCACCUAUGUAGCCCUUUGAUAAGUAUUGCAAUACUGACACCCAGAGAGGUAAUGCCAUUUAGAUUCCUCAGGUGGAGUCACAGGAGAAAAUCCCAAGAGGAGUAAAAAAUAAUAAUGCUGAUGUCAUGUUAGAGUGGAGGCCCUGGAUGCUGUUGUGGACCCACUCUCCAGUUUCUUCCACAGUUAGAAGAUGUGGAAGUGAUCAGGUGCAACUCGAAUUUUUCAUACAAGCAAAGCCCGAGUCAGCGUGAGGGGUGGUGGUGGUGGGGCAGGGAGAGACUGCCAUUGCUUGGAGUUACUUAGGACACAGUCAGCAGGGCUGGGAUACAGCUACGGUUUUAUAUAUAUUCAUGGGUAUAGAAAACAUGGGCAUCAAGGCCUUCAUAUGAAAAAGUUUGGUCAUUACUGAGGUACAACAGAAGGCUUUCUUGCAAUAUAAUUACAGACAAUGAAAUUCGCAGUUUUAAGGAUACAACUUGAUGAUUUUCAGUAAACAAAAGUUGUGCAACCAUCACCGUAGUUGAGUUUUGGAGGUUUCCAUCACUAUAAAAUGUCCCAUCAUACUUGAACGCAGUUAAUCCCUGCUUUCACCCCCAGCUCCAGGAAUCACAGCGCAGAGCUUUUAUGCAGAUGACUGAACCCGUGGAGUUAGGUGGCUGAGAGGAUGCAGCUUCCCAGGUCUCUACAACUGAUGGCAGCAAGAUGGGAGCACCCAGCUACAGUGUUCAGAAGUAGAUUUAGGCAGACUACCACACCUUACAUGCUAGAGGGAUCCACACUGACCUGAGUAGGUGAGGUCUCAGACAGGCUUGUUUUCUAUCAUGGGGACAGGAUUACAGCCUACUCAGAAGUAAGUUGUGGUCCAGCUCUUGUGUCAUUCAGAAAGACUCCAGAACGUGUAGAUCCAGCUCCUCUCUAAACUUGAACUCAACCAAUAUCCCAGAGAGACAUUCUUAAUCUUCUAGGCAAAUGCACUGUCAUUAGGAGCCACCAGAGACCACACAAACACACACAAAUACACACACACACACACACACAUAUACACCCUGGAGCCUUAAUGCCAGCAGUAGCCCUAGGAGAACCUACAGGCUCAUGUGCUUGUUGCUUAUUGUCUGUUAGGCUGCAUAUGUAACUGGACCCUUUUGCAUUUAAAAAAAUAGCAAUAAUGAUGAUUAACAGAGUGUUUAUUAGGGAAUUAUUUAAAAAUUACCUUAGUAUCCAGUUAAAUAUGAUGAAAAUGAGAGAAUUUCCACCUGUCAUGUUAUCAAAGUAUUUUAAAAAACCAUCGAGGAUUUCAGUGAGGUGUGCAUAUGGGUAGGUCUACUCUGUCUCAUAUUGGGGGAGGGGAUAUCACUUCGUACAACCUCUUUCCAGGUUGAUUUGGCAAUAUCUUUUAAAUAGUCUGUGCAUCCCCACUCUGUAUGUAUUUGGAGCCUGUCCCUUCAAGUAUUCAUCCUCAGUGUGACAACUGCCCCUCUAUUAGAGGAUGCAUAUUCCUCAUGAUGUAGGUUGUCUGGGAACUCUACUUUCUAAAGCACUGACCCAGACACAUUCCCUUGUCUUUGCAGAGCAGGAUAUUGAUGUACAACAAGAUUCUCUGAUCAGAAAGAGAGGCAGAACUAGCAGCCUGGCUUCAGAGGUGAAGAUACAGAUGUCAGUAGUGACCCAGUGUGACAUGCAUAAAGGAAUUUCUUAUUGAGCCCCAGGAAGAAGAAACACUACAUAAGAGCAAAUAAUAAAAUCGGUCAGAUAGACAGAAGAUGGGAGUCAUCAAACCUGUAUCCCUCUUGCCAGACCUAUCAACUGACCAUACGUCAUUCAGGAGGCAGCAGGUGGCUGAAAUCCUGGUGUGAUGUGGCUGGAUCAUGCAUGAUCUGAGGACUCCUGCACAGGUGACUGCAGGAUGAGUACAGAAUUUUUCUAUAAAUAUACUAAAAUACCAAGUAAGCCAGGAGCAGCCACUAGGCAAACACCAAACCUUGCAUUCCUGGCCAAACCUAUCACAGAGCUCAUCAGAUGCAGUGGAUCCCCAGGUUGCAAGUCAUAUAACCUGAGCAUGCCCAGAUGAACCAAGUAUGCCUGAUUGGUGAACCUGGAACUGGCCAGAACAGAAAAUGUCAACCACAUGUGGAAUCUAAGUAUUCAGAUUGAGAAAUGAGGACCAAAAUGAGAACACUGAGCUCCUCACACAGGUGACUGAACCCGUGGUUUUGGUGUCUGAGAAGAUGCAGCUUCUCCAGUCUCUGCAACUGACGGCAGGAAGAUGGGAGCACUCAGCUUCAGUGUUCAGAAGCAGAUUUAGGCCAAUUGCCAUACCUUACGUUCUGGAGGGAUCCACCCUGACCUGAGCAGGGCACAAUUAUUUUAUCUUGGAACCAACAAUCUUCGGAGAAUGUAUCCCAAAGAUACAAUUCAAAAAGAUAAAAAGGCAGAAGCACAAGGUCAUUCUUGGCAGAACAAAUUGUAACAGCAGAAGACUGGAAAUAAGACAGAUGUCCACCAAUAAAGGACUGACUGAAUAAUCUAAGGUGCAUCUACAUCCUAGAUUUCAAUGCCGGUAUAACAAGCAAGGAAGAUUCCCUCUCUCUGCUGCUAUGUAGUGAUUUCCAGGAUAUACCAUUAAGUGAAUAAAGCAAAGUGCAGAAAAAUGUGUAGAGCUGCUGUUGUCCCAUACCAUACCCACUGGCCACUCAUGGCUAUUUAAGUUAACUAAAUUUAAAUGGAAUUUUAAAUUCACUUCCUCAGUCACACUCACCACAUUUUAGGUGUUUAAUAGUCACAGGUAGCUAGUGGCUACUAUGUUGGACAGUUGAGACAUAGAAUAUUUUCACCUUUGUAGAAAUUCUAUUGGACUCCACCAGUGUAGAAUAUGUCACCUUAUAUAUAUGGAAUAGGAGAAAACUAAUAGAAACAUUCUAUUUGCUUAUAUUUUUAAAAUUGGAAAGUUUUAAUGAAAAUUGAUUUAAAAAAUCAUUACCUAUAAAGAGAAGGAAAAACAGCCCAGGACAGAAGCCAAUAAUGUCUUUUCCCUUAAAAAUAUAAUAUAUAUACACUGGCUCCAUGCACUAGAAAGGUGAAGAAACAUGAUAGACCCAGUAGCAAUGAGCAACUCUAGUGCCCAUAUUGAAUCCACUUAAAACACAUCACACUGAAAGGAACUAGGUUAUCUUAGAGAAAUGACUGAGUUUAGGUCUGUGUAGCCAUUCUACUAGAUGAAUCUGGACCAAACUAUCAUGCCAGAGAGUGCGUCAAAAAGACUCAGAAGCCAAGCUUAAGGGGCUCUCGCUGGACAAAGAUGAAGCAAUUUGAACAUUAAAUAAAAUAAUGACUACUAUGGAUUAAAACACAUUAUAAUAUAAAAACUUCUACAGCUCAUGAUGACACUCUAAAAGAAAAAUAAAAUAAAACAAACAAUAUCAACUCAUUGCUUGCCUUUGGAGAACCCUAGGGAAACAACUCAUUGUUUUGAAAAGUGGAAAUAUUGCAAAAGAAUUAGGCACUCAUCCAACCCUUUCUAUACAUACUAUCCCUCAGUGUAACCUAAUGGUUUAUGAAAGUUUAUUUAAUAGAAUAAUUCCAGCUAAUAAAGCAGAGAAAAUUAUAGAAUUAGAAUAUCAUCCUUUUAUGACCUUUAAUGAAUAUAGAACUAAGCAACAAUCCUUAGACGCUGCAGAAAAAUCGAGGUGAAAAAGGGAUGGGAAAUUUUAUAAUGGAUGGAUCAGCUUAACAAUACUUGAACAUAGUAAUUAAUCUUAACAUCACAAGAGGAGAGACAAUUAGACACAAUGAGCCCCCUGUGUAACACUAUAGGAAUAAACAAUACCACAUAUGAAGUACUUCUGACCAAAACAAAUCUAAAUUGAAUCAAGCCUCUGAAUCUAACACCAUUUUGUUAAAUUUUUUUAUUAUACUUUUAAGUUCUGGGAUACAUGUGGAGAAUGUACAGGUU
rnacentral:lncRNA from 1 species